GUGAGUAUUCAGAACUUUCCCAAGCAGCAUGGAAGGAGAUACAGCCAACAGCUGGCUGUCUUAGCACUUUAAGGUCUCAUUCUCACACAGGUUUAGAUGAGCCAAACCGGUGGACAGGAGUUCACCAGGUAAGCCCCAAACUCUUCCUAGGAAAGCUGACUCACCUGAUGCACACACCCCUUCCCAGCCUCUUCCUGCUGUGUCACCAUCUGCGGGAGGUGGUACUCUAGUCUCCCCUAAGACUCGGCUUGCCACCUGCACCAGCUCCCUGGGCAAAGGUCACCUGUGUUCUUAAUAGAGCAGAGAGGCCAGGCUUUCAGAUGGCAAAUUCACUAGAGCAUCACUUCUAGCCCUAAUUGAGGUCAGGGACAGCCAUUGGCCAAAUGACACACCACAUAGCAGGAUGAGCAGAGGUAGCUGACACAGCCACCUCCCGUCCAAAAUGUGAACGACGGUCCUUCCUUUCUGUAAGAGGCCUUCCUGCUUUGGCUGUUUUUAAAUCCACCUCCUGGUGACCUGCUGGUAUAUCAAAUCACUUCCUUUCCUUUUGGGACAGUAAGAGAGCUUUAGGAUCGUGACGGGAAAUAAGGAGAUGGAUUAGAACACCAGGAAAGUGGGCAAAAUCUAAGGUAGCGGGGACAGGGACAGAGGCCAAAGCCAUCUCUCAAAGAGGAUGCUGGCUCUUUCCAUAUGGGCCACCUGCACUCGGCUGAGGGUGGUUUGAGACUCAAGGCCUUCUAUAACAAACAGUAGGGACCCGUUCUGGGCCCCAGGAGGCACAGCUGCCUUCCCUACCAUGGCCCAUUCGUGUUUUCCCACAGUCUGUCUACGGUCCAUUCACCAUCUGUGAGUGCCAACACGUCCACACAGCUGCAGCUGCGUCCCUUCUCCCACAAAGGAGUGGCUUCUAUAGGGACCCCAUGAUUUUAAGAAGGCUCCUGGCUCUCCUUGACUGUGUAAGGUAGAAAGGGAGG
rnacentral:lncRNA from 1 species